AAGGUCCCUCUGCGACGCGCCGGACCCAAGUUCCCUGGAAAGGGACGUCAUCGAGGGUGACAACCCCGUCCGCGCCCGGAAUGCGUCGCUCCACGAGGACCUGUCUGCGAGUCGGGCUGUUUGGGAAUGCAGCCCUAAGUGGGAGGUAAAUUCCUUCCAAGGCUAAAUAUGGGCAAGAGACCGAUAGCGAACAAGUACCGCGAGGGAAAGAUGAAAAGGACUUUGAAAAGAGAGUUAAAAAGUGCUUGAAAUUGCUGGGAGGGAAGCGAAUGGAAGCUGCGGGUGCGCCCCGGUUGGAUGUGGAACGGCUUCGGCUGGUCCGCCGCUCAACGCGGGGCGCUGGUCAGCGUGGGCCACGGCGCCGGGACAAGAGCAGGGAUUCGCUUCCUGCCUAUGCCGGUGCGGUGGCCGAGGAACGAAGCAUGCGCCUUCUGGCGUGGGUUCGCCCAACUGCAUGCUCGGGACGCUGGCGUAUUGAGCUCUUCAUCCGACCCGUCUUGAAACACGGACCAAGGAGUCUAACAUGUAUGCGAGCCGGUGGGCGGCAAACCCAUUGAGGCGCAAGUAAACUGACAGGUGGGACCCCGACCGUGAGGGAGGGAGCACCAUCGACCGACCGUGAUCUUCUGUGAAAGGUUUGAGUGUGAGCAUACCUGUUGGGACCCGAAAGAUGGUGAACUAUGCCUGAGCAGGGCGAAGCCAGAGGAAACUCUGGUGGAGGCUCGUAGCGAUACUGACGUGCAAAUCGUUCGUCAGACUUGGGUAUAGGGGCGAAAGACUAAUCGAACCAUCUAGUAGCUGGUUCCCUCCGAAGUUUCCCUCAGGAUAGCUGGAGCUCGUGUACAAGUUUUAUCAGGUAAAGCGAAUGAUUAGAGGCAUCG
rnacentral:rRNA from 1 species